GCCUGGGUGGCUCAGUCAGUUGAGUAUCUGACUCUUGAUUUCAGGGUCGUGGGAUCAAGUCCCAUGUCAGGCU
rnacentral:tRNA from 1 species